rnacentral:tRNA from 1 species
GGCCCUGUGGUGUAGUGGUUAACAUGCUGGCCUUUGGAGCCAGCGACUCCAGUUCGAAUCUGGACAGGGCUG